UUCGCGGUCUGUGAGGAUUUCGCUCUUCACCCUUUUCAAACUCAUUUCUUUCUCCUUUCUUUCUUUUUCUCGGAUAUUCUUUCUCCCUCUCUCCAAAGUUCUUCGAUCCUUUCCGUCUCCUUUCCGUCUCCAAAGCUCUCCAAAGUUAGCUGCAUAUGAUUCGAUUAGAAACUGGAUAUUGCAAGGGUUUCGUUUAAUCAAAGGCCGUUGAAGGAGGACGAUUUAAUGGCAGCGACGACGGCGCAAGGGAUGGACCCAGCAGUAGUAGACGAUAUAAUUAGACGGCUGACGGAACUUCGGUCAGCCAGGCCAGUGAAACAAGUUUGCUUGAACUCGAAGCACCCAUCAAAAUUUGCAGUGACAUACAUGGGCAAUAUAGUGACUUACUAAGGCUGUUCGAGUAUGGGGGUUUUCCUCCUCAUGCUAAUUACCUAUUUCUAGGCGACUAUGUUGAUCGUGGCAAGAAGAGUUUGGAAACUUCUGGAGAUAACUGAGAAG